rnacentral:rRNA from 1 species
UACGUAGGGUGCGAGCGUUGUCCGGAUUUAUUGGGCGUAAAGGGCUCGUAGGCGGCGUGUCGCGUCGGGAGUGAAAGGCCGGGGCUUAACCCCGGUUCUGCUUCCGGUACGGGCAUGCUGGAGUGUGGCAGGGGAGACUGGAAUUCCUGGUGUAGCGGUGGAAUGCGCAGAUAUCAGGAGGAACACCGGUGGCGAAGGCGGGUCUCUGGGCCAUUACUGACGCUGAGGAGCGAAAGCGUGGGGAGCGAACAGG